UACGAAGGGGGCUAGCGUUGCUCGGAAUUACUGGGCGUAAAGGGCGCGUAGGCGGAUAGUUUAGUCAGAGGUGAAAGCCCAGGGCUCAACCUUGGAAUUGCCUUUGAUACUGGCUAUCUUGAGUAUGGAAGAGGUAUGUGGAACUCCGAGUGUAGAGGUGAAAUUCGUAGAUAUUCGGAAGAACACCAGUGGCGAAGGCGACAUACUGGUCCAUUACUGACGCUGAGGCUCGAAAGCGUGGGGAUCAAACAGG
rnacentral:rRNA from 1 species